UAAGAACGGCCAUGCACCACCACCCACAGAAUCAAGAAAGAGCUAUCAAUCUGUCAAUCCUUACUAUGUCUGGACCUGGUGAGUUUCCCCGUGUUGAGUCAAAUUAAGCCGCAGGCUCCACUCCUGGUGGUGCCCUUCCGUCAAUUCCUUUAAGUUUCAGUCUUGCGACCAUACUCCCCCUGGAACUCAAAGACUUUGAUUUCUCAAAAAAUGCCGAAGGAAUCAACAGGCAACCGCCUCCAAUUUCUUGGUAGCAUAGUUUAUGGUUAAGACUAGGACGGUAUCUAAUCGUCUUCGAUCCCCUAACUUUCGUUCUUGAUUAAAGAAGACAUCCUUGGCAAAUGCAUUCGCAUUAGUUUGUCUUUAACAAAUCCAAGAAUUUCACCUCUGACAGUUAAAUACGAAUGCCCCCAACUAUCCCUAUUAAUCAUUACCUCAGCUCUAGAAACCAACAAAAUAGAACCGAGGUCCUAUCUUAUUAUUCCAUGCUAAUGUAUUCAAGGCGUGCGCCUGCUUGAAACACUCUAAUUUCCUCAAAGUAAAAGUCCUGGAUACCGCUCCACACAGUCAAGUGCAG
rnacentral:rRNA from 1 species